UACGGGGGGAGCAAGCGUUGUUCGGAUUUACUGGGCGUAAAGGGCGCGUAGGCGGCCACCGCAAGUCGACUGUGAAAUCUCCGGGCUUAACCCGGAAAGGUCAGCCGAUACUGCGGGGCUAGAGUGCAGAAGGGGCAACUGGAAUUCUCGGUGUAGCGGUGAAAUGCGUAGAUAUCGAGAGGAACACCUGCGGCGAAGGCGGGUUGCUGGGCUGACACGUGACGCUGAGGCGACGAAAGCUAGGGGAGCGAACGGG
rnacentral:rRNA from 1 species